CAGCAGCCGCGGUAAUACGUAGGGGGCAAGCGUUAUCCGGAAUUACUGGGUGCAAAGGGAGCGUAGACGGUUAGACAAGUCUGAAGUGAAAUGCCGGGGCUCAACCCCGGAGCUGCUUUGGGAACUGUAGAACUGGAGUGUCGGAGGGGUAAGCGGAAUUCCCAGUGUGGCAGUGAAAUGCGUAGAUAUUGGGAGGAACACCGGCGGCGAAGGCGGCUUACUGGACGACAACUGACGUUGAGGCUCGAAGGCGUGGGUAGCAGACAGGAUUAGAUACCCCGGUAGUCCCUGUCUCUUAUAC
rnacentral:rRNA from 1 species